rnacentral:lncRNA from 1 species
UUUGCCGCCGCCCCCCCUCCCAUCUCCUCCUCCCUCAAACCUUUGCAGCCACACCACCUAACCCUAGCCGCCCCCACCUCCUCCUGCCCAAGGUGUCAUUCCUUGCCUCUCGGAUCUUCGUCGCGUGGUGCAAGUCUCCAAUUGGUUUUGGUGGAGGAAAGAAGGGAGGAAGGAAAGAGGGAGAAUCCAAGGUGAUUUUUGUGUUUAUCUCUUGUUCAUUUGUGCUGCAGUCCGAUUGAAUAGAUGUUGCGUAUGCGAAUUGGUAGAGGUGCUGUCCAGAAUUUUAGUGGGUGGGCGAACAGCAGUAGUAUUAGCAGUUUCUGGGAAUUUUUCGUGGGAAAUUAAUGGGAAUCAGUAUGGGAAUAAUUUAGUUCUUUGUCAUACCUUUCCAACGAGUACUUAUGCGCUCGAUUCGGAGUUAUAGAUUAGGAGAUAUCGCCGUUUGAAUCCAGGUAGGUGGCUGUCCAAAAAACAGAUUUUCAGGUGGGCGAACAGCAGCAGUAUUAGCAGUUUCUGGGGAUUUUUCGUGAGUAAUUAGUGAUAAUCAGUAUGAGAAUCAUGUUGAGCUUUGUCUUACCUUUCCAACAAGUACUUAUGCGCUCGAUUCGGAAUUAUAUUUUAAAAGAUAUUGCUGUUUGAAUCUGGGUAUGUCGCUGCCCAAAAGAGAAAAAACAGAAUGCAGGGUUUAUCUUGUGGACUGUUUUGGGGUAUUUAGAUGUUGAAAUUUAAUUAUAAAUUGUAUACAAAACUUGUGGGGAAUUUUAUGUAGAUAUCUCUGGAGCUUUUGUUUGUCACCCCUGCUGUCAUAAUUUUGAAGUUAUGGAAUUGUUAAGCAGCGCCGCUGCAGUUUGGUGGGUGUGGGGAGAAUUGUUACCCGCGGCGGGGUUUGAGAUGGUGCGUAGGUGCGGCGUCGUUUAUGAGCGUUAUUAUGUGAAAUUGGUGCACUAAGUUGUGUGUCAAAAACAGGUGGUGGACUUCCGGAUCGUACUUAGGGAUUUGCCCAAACUUCCGGGGAAGGCAAGUAAAACAGUGAUGGUUAUUCCGUCUGUUGAUUGAAGAGUCUUAUACUUGAUUAUGUUUGUGCUAUUUAUGUUCGUAUUCAUGUUCCUAAUUGGGUACCGUCGUUUGAAGUUAUUCAUGUUUAUUUAUUAUACAUGUGGAGGUUGUGGUUUGAUCAUUUUACCCAUGUGGUUUAUUAUGUGAAAUGGGUGGAAGUUUAUGUCUACCACAUUUUAUUUGGGAAGAACUCAUGUUGUUGACAUGCAUAAUGCAUUCAUCAUCCAUUGCAUUGAAGUUUUGUCGCGAUCUUAUGGUCCGACCGUACCAGUACAAUGAGCAUCAUAUGUUGCCCGAGAAGGGGUAUGAUGCAGCUUCAUAUCCUUAGAGGUAUGAAGGCAGAAGUCAUAUUGCAUCUGUAGCCAUGUGCAUUCAUGGGGAAGUGUGGAACCCAUUAUGGUGAUGUGGAUGAUGUGGAUCUUUACUUUGUGAUUCAUCUUGGCAUUAAGUAAUUGAUUACUUUCUUACUUGCUGCAAAUUAUUAUUUAAGAAAGAAGUUGUGAACCACGUGGUUGCUUAUGCACGGUUGGUUUACAUUGUCCAACUGUUGUUUGCUCUUUUUACUUGUUGAGAUGUGUCAUCUCACUCUUGCAUUGUCUGAUGCAGGCACCUGAUCUUUGCUUUGGGAAUGAAGGGAUGUAGCAGCACGGCCACCACCUAUUUAAAUAAAGGAACCACUGCUUAAUCAUGAUGUUAAACAGGGAGGGUCAAGUCUAGGGGAUUAUUACAUUCUAAUCUUUCAUGGUAGUUGAACUGUUUAGUUUGGUGGGCUGAGUUGUCUAUCUUUUGUCUGGUCAUGAAUGUUCAUUUUUACCGUUGCAUUUCGAUUAUACUAUGUCAAUUAUCUUUCUUUUAUAUCCUGUAUAAACUCUAUGUUUCCCUUGUUAUGCUUCUUUCAAGGGAGGUGCUACCGGAUUUUGCAAUACUUUCUUUCUCUAUGUGUAGCAUAAGUUUUGUAGGAAGGGUUUUUGGUAAAAUCCAUUGUGUGGGAUCAGUGGGUGUUACAGUUGGUAUCAGAGGAAUAGGCUGUAGGUCCUAGCAAGUGGAGUAAUAAUAAAUUGACACACUGCACAUGUAGGAUGGGUUUUCUGCUUUACUAUUGAUAUGGUAUGUUAUUGUCUGAGCUAGUUUGACAUUAUCUGAAGAGAUGCUAUGCCAAUCUUAUAUACUUAUUAUUCUCAUCCCUAUGGCUGCAGCUAUGCCGCCUCGUAGGACUCAGGGUAGUCCGCAAGUUCCUAGUGGGGACUCGAUGAGUCCGGCGGCAAUGUUAGCCGCGAUGCAGGCCAUGCAGCAGGAGUUGGCCAUUCUGAGGCAAGCUAUUCCUGUUGCCCCUGCGGGUGCUGCUUAGGGUGCUGGUGGUGGAGGAGUGCUCGGGGGCGCUGUCCCUGCGGGUGCUGCUCUAGGUGGCGGGGCCGAGGUGCCUCUUCCAGUCAGUGGUCUUUCUCUGAUGUAGUGGAUGGGCAUGAAGUUGGAUUUGUUUCAUGGAAGUGGUACUCCGGUCGAGGCGGCAGAUUGGCUAACUUACUUGGAGGAUAAGAUGAAUGUCUUCGAGAUUGUGUAUGGAGAUCGAGUUCGCUUUGGCACGCAGUUGCUGAGGGGAGAGGCUCAAAAUUGGUGGAGAGGCGUGCAGGCAGUGCACUCCUCCUCACCAGGAGUCCUGUCUUGGGAUGUCUUCAUCAGGCAGUUUGAAAGGAGAUUCUACCCGGUCACCUUCCUGGAGAAAAUGAAGAUUGAUUUGCAUCCUACAAGCAGGAGAAGAAGUCUGUCACGGAGUAUGAAGUGGGCUUCAACAAGAUGGUCCUCUUUGUCCCUCAUGUGGCUUAUAAUGAGAUGGAGAAGGCGAGCCAGUUCCGUCAGGGCCUGAAACCUUCCAUCAGGCAUGCCCUAGGAGCUUUCCGUUGGUGGACUUCCGUACUAUAGUGGAGCAGGCACUGGGUGUGGAGAUGCAACACCAGUAUACCAUGGAGUCGCAGAAGUCUUCGGGUGUUGAUCAGCCUCGUGGCCAGGACGCGAGAAGGGGCAACACUGGAGGUCCAGCCCACAAGAGGGGCAAGUCUCAACAUCAGCGCCACCAUCCCUACCGUGGCAAAUCCUCUGACUCGGGUACUUCGGGAGGAAGUACUCAGAGGUUUCGGGCUGUUCCUAAGCCCGGGCUUGGGCUGGUGUGUUUCCGUUGUGGUGAUGCGCAUCGCCGUGCAGAGUGCCAGUGGAACGGCAGGUGUUCAAUCUCCAGUCAAGACCACAAGGAUGUGGUGUGUAGGAGGAAUCCCAAUGGGAAGCUCAGAUGGGAGCCAGUGACUUCCUCCUCUUCUCAGGACACUGUCAACAUGAUGUCAAGCGCUGAGCAGCAAUUUUCAGUUCCACUUCCUCCGCAGCAGUUUUAUUUGCCUGGGACUUCUCAGUUCGUGCUGGUGCAGGGUUUUCCUCAGUAUCUGGCUGCGCCUACUCCUGCACCGACUACUCCUAUGCCAUCUUAGUUUGGAGCUCCGCGUCUGCCUCACCCGGCGGCUUAGUGGGGUUCUUCUGUUAAUUUCACUCUAGGAGCUUCCUCUUCUGCGGGUAUUUCCAGAGCUUAUGUGCUACCCGCUGCGGAUGACAGAGUGCAAGGAGACGUGGUGACAGGUACGAUUUCAGUUGAUUCAUUUGUGGCCCAUGUUCUUUUUGACUCUGGUGCUAGCUAUUCGUUUGUUUCGGAGGAUUUUGUGUCGCGGGCUGGUCUUUCGGUGUAGAGGUUGGGUCACCCAAUUUUGGUUAGUUCUGCUAAUGGCUCCAUUAGUAGCUGUUCAGUUUGUCAGGGGUGUUUCGUCAUUCUUGCUGAUGAGGUCUUUUCGGCCAAUCUGGUUGUGAUUUCCUUGGGGGCAUUCGAUGUUUCUUGGGUAUGGAUUGGUUAUCUUAGUAUCGCGCAGUUAUAUCCUGUUUCUGGAAGACAGUGUUAUUGUAGGCGCCGUCGGGUAAGAAGGUGGUAUUCUUGGGAAGUUCCCCAAAGUUCACAUUAUCCUUGUUGGUGCAAUUGCUUCCGGAUCGCCGGUCAAGGAAGUCGGGAAUCUUUUUCUCCAUGGUGGUGGAGGGUGAGGCUGCCUUGCGGGUGCAGGACAUCCGGGUGGUGUUUGACUUUGUUGACGUGUUUCCAGCAGAGCUUCCAGGCAUUCCUCCGGAGCGUGAUGCAGCUUUUGAGAUUAAGCUGAUUCCGGGUAUGCAGCCCAUUCAUAAGGCCCCGUAUCGAAUGGCCCCAAAGCAGCAGGUUGAAUUGAAGCAGCAAUUGGAUGAUCUGCUGGCUAAGGGUUUCAUUAGGCCUAGCAGGUCUCCAUGGGCUUCCCCAGUAUUGUUUGUUGAGAAGAAGGAUAAAAGCAAGAGGCUCUGUGUGGAUUAUCGCGCUUUGAAUCAAGUGACAAUCAAGAAUAAAUAUCCGCUACCCCGUAUUGAGGUUCUCUUUGAACAGUUGAGGGGUGCCUAGGUGUUCUCCAAAAUUGAUUUGAACUCUAGUUAUCAUCAAUUGUGGAUUCGUGAGGAGGAUAUUGAGAAGACUGCUUUUUGCACCAGGUAUAGGCAUUAUGAGUUCAUAGUCAUGUCUUUUGGCUUAACUAAUGCCCCUGCUGCUUUUAUGAAAGCAAUGAAUAGGAUGUUGCAUGAGUUCUUGGAUGACUUUGUGGUUGUGUUCCUAGAUGAUAUUCUGAUUUAUUCAAAGACCGAGGCUGAGCAUGAGCAGCAUCUCCGUCUCGUUCUGGGUGCCCUAAGAAAGAAUCAGUUCUAUGGCAAGUUGAAGAAGUGUGCCUUUUGGCUGUCCAAAGUGGCUUUCCUGGGGCAUGUGAUUAAUCAGCAGGGCAUUGCGGUUGAUCCCAAGAAUGUUGCGGCUGUGGUGGAGUGGAAGAGACCCUCUAGUGUCUCUGAAAUCCGAAGUUUCUUGGGGCUCGCUGGAUAUUAUCGGCGCUUCGUACCAAAUUUUUCCAGCAUUGUUGCUAAGCCUUUGACUAGACUCUUGGAGAAGAGUGUUCUCUUCGUCUGGUCCAGCGAUUGCGAGGUCAGUUAUCAGACAUUGAAGAGCAAGUUGGUGGAUGCCCCUAUCCUAGCUUUGCCUUUGAGCGGUAAGCAUUUCACAGUUUAUACGGAUGCUUCGCGAAUUGGUCUUGGUUGUGUGUUGAUGCAGGAAGGCAGAGUGAUUGCUUAUGGCUCUAGGCAGUUGAGGAAGCAUGAGGGGAAUUAUCCAACUCAUGAUCUUGAAUUGGCCGUGGUGGUUUUUGCUCUAAAGUCGUGGAGGCAUUAUCUUUAUGGUGAGGCUUGUGACAUUUACACCGAUCAUAAAAGUCUCAAGUAUAUUUUCACUCAGAAGGAGCUGAAUUUGAGGCAGCGUCGGUGGCUCGAAUUGAUUAAAGAUUAUGAUUUGUCCAUUCAUUAUCACCCGGGGAAGGCAAAUGUGGUGGCUGAUGCCCUUAGCAGGUCCGGGGUUCCAAAAGUGGCCUUGCCUUUGAUCACUGAUCUGGACCGUUUGGGGAUCGCUUUGUGCUGUGUCGGCACCGCUAGUGAGGAGACUCGGAUGCUUAUUCAAUCCUCCCUCAUGGAGAGAGUGCGUGCGGCUCAGCAACAUGAUCGUCUAUUGCAGGAAGCUCGAAAGAGGGUUGGUGAUGGUAAACCCCGCGAGUUCACCAUUGAUGAGAAUUACUUGGUUCGUUUCAGGGGCCGUCUUUGUGUGCCUCAGAAAUCAGAGGUGAAGAUGGAUAUCUUGAGAGAAGCUCAUAAAAUGCCUUACACCGUUCACCCUGGCGAAACCAAAAUGUACCGAGAUUUGAAGCAAAACUUCUGGUGGAAGCGGAUGAAGGUUGACUUUUCUAAGUAUGUGGCCGCCUGUGAAGUAUGUCAGCGCGUGAAGGCCGAGCAUAAGCGGCCUGCAGGUUUACUGAAGCCAUUGGAAAUUCCGGAGUGGAAAUGGGAGCAUAUCACCAUGGAUUUUGUGGUUGGUUUACCUCGUUCUCCUCGGGGCAGGGAUGCUAUAUGGGUGGUAGUGGAUUGCUUGACUAAGUCUGCGCAUUUUAUUCCCAUGAAGACCACAAAUUCAGCUUCAGAUUUGGCUCCCUUGUAUAUGAAGGAAGUAGUAAGGCUUCACGAGGUACCUAAGUCCAUUGUUUCUGAUCGAGACUCCAAAUUUGUAUCCAAAUUCUGGGAGAGUAUUCACAGUGCAUUGGGCACCAAGCUUUCACUUAGUGUCGCUUUUCACCCUUAGACUGAUGGUCAGUCGGAGCGAACGAUCCAAACCUUGGAAGAUAUGUUGCGUGCUUGUGUUCUGUCAUGGAAGGGUAGCUAGGAGGAUCAUCUUGCAUUGGCAGAGUUUGUUUAUAACAACAGCUACCAGGCUAGCAUCAAGAUGGCACCAUUUGAGGCUUUGUAUGGCAGGCGAUGUAUCUCCCCUCUGUGUUAGGAGACUUUGGGAGAGAGAUCACUGGUUGGUCCUGAUUGGGUUCAGCAGACUUCUGAAAAGGUUCGGGAAAUUCGUCAGAAUAUUUUGGCCGCUCAGAGCCGUCAGAAGAGUUAUGCUGAUGUGAGGAGGCGGGAUUUGGAAUUUGCAGUGGGUGACGAAGUCCUUCUCAGGGUAUCACCUACUAAAGGAGUUGUUCGGUUCGGUGUCUCCGGAAAGCUCAGCCUGAGAUACAUUGGACCGUUCACUAUCUUGGACCAAGUGGGCAGCCUGGCUUAUCGCUUGCAACUGCCGGAUUCCAUGGCGUGGGUACACCCGGUUUUUCAUGUCUCUAUGUUGAGGAAGUUUUUGCGGGAUCCGGACCAUCAGAUUGAGAUGGAACCAAUUGCUGUGCAGCAGGAUCUGACUUUGGAGUGUCGUCCGGUGCGUAUCUUGGAAUUCUCGGAGCGUGUAUUGAGGAAGAGAUCAAUUAAGUAUGUCAAGGUCUUAUGGACUAAUCAGUCUGAGCGCGAGGCUACGUGGGAACUUGAGGAGCUGAUGCGGCAGAAAUAUCUGGAACUUUUCGUUGUGGGUAAGUGUUGUUGAUUCAUUAAUCUUUCCUUUUGUCGUUCCGAUAGAAGCGUCAGAAUUCGAGGUCGAAUUCUUUUUAAGGGGGGUAGAGUGUGAUACCCGGUUCGCAAAGAAGAGAAGUUGGAGGUUAUUCUUUUUUGUUUUUUUCUCAUUCGGGUGAUGCGUUUUGGGAUUUGGAAUUUGUGAGAAACAUUCACCCGUAGGACAGUAGAAUUUCUUUGGUUGGACGCUGGCGACGGGGUCGGGAGCUGUCGCGUGGGCGAGUUGGCCCGCGAAUCUUGAUCCGACCCACUAACCACCCCUUAACCCUAGCCGCCCUCCCCCUAAUCCCCUUCCCUUGUGCAGUAUCCCCCCCAUUUCCCCUAACCCUUGGCCGCCGCCUCCCUUCCCAUCUCCUCCUCCCUCAAACCCUUGCAGCCACACCACCUAACCCUAGCCGUCCCCACCUCCUCCUCCCGAAGGUGCCAUUCCUUGCCGCUCGGAUCUUCGUCGCGUGGUGCAAGUCUCCAAUUGGUUUUAGUGGAGGGAAGAAGGGAGGAAGGAAAGGGGGAGAAUCCAAGGUGAUUUUUGUGUUUAUCUCUUGUUCAUUUGUGCUGCAAUCCGAUUGAAUAGAUGUUGCGUAUGCGAAUUGGUAGAGGUGCUGUCCAGAAUUUUAGUGGGUGGGCGAACACCAGUAGUAUUAGCAGUUUCUGGGAAUUUUUCGUGUGAAGUUAAUGGGAAUAAGUAUGGGAAUCAUGUGGUUCUUUGUCAUACCUUUCCAACGAGUACUUAUGCGCUCAAUUCGAAGUUAUAGAUUAGGAGAUAUCGCCGUUUGAAUCCGGGUAGGUGGCUGUCCAAAAAACAGAUUUUCAGGUGGCCGAACAGCAGCAGUAUUAGCAGUUUCUGGGGAUUUUUCGUGAGUAAUUAGUGAUAAUAAGUAUGAGAAUCAUGUAGAGCUUUGUCUUACCUUUCCAACAAGUACUUAUGCGCUCGAUUCAGAAUUAUAUUUAAAAGAUAUCGCUGUUUGAAUCCGGUUAUGUCGCUGCCCAAAAGAGAAAAAACAGAUUGCAGGGUUUAUCUUGUGGACUGUUUUGGGGUAUUUAGAUGUUGAAAUUUAAUUAUAAAUUGUAUACAAAACUUGUGGGGAAUUUUAUGUAGAUGUCUCUGGAGCUUUUGUUUGUCACCCCUGCUGUCAUAAUUUUAAAGUUAUGGAAUUAUUAAGCAGCGCCGCUGCAGUUUGGUGGGUGUGGGGAGAAUUGUUACCCGCGGCGGGGUUUGAGAUGGUGCGUAAGUGCGGCGUCGUUUAUGAGCGUUAUUAUGUGAAAUUGGUGCACUAAGUUGUGUGUCAAAAACAGGUGGUGUACUUCUGGAUCAUACUUAGGGAUUUGCCCAAACUUUCGUUGAAGGCAAGUAAAACAGUGAUGGUUAUUCCGUCUGUUGAUUGAAGAGUCUUAUACUUGAUUAUGUUUGUGCUAUUUGUGUUCGUAUUCAUGUUCCUAAUUGGGUACCGUCGUUUGAAGUUAUUCAUGUUUAUUUAUUAUACAUGAAGAGGUUGUGGUUUGAUCAUGUUACCCAUGUGGUUUAUUAUGUGAAAUGGGUGGAAGUUUAUGUCUAGCACAUUUUAUUUGGGAAGAACUCAUGUUGUUGACAUGCAUAAUGCAUUCAUCAUCCAUUGCAUUGAAGUUUCGUCGCGAUCUUAUGGUCCGACCGUACCGGUACAAUGAACAUCAUAUUUUGCCCGAGAAGGGGUAUGAUGCAGCUUCAUAUCCUUAGAGGUAUGAAGGCAGAAGUCAUAUUGCAUUUGUAGCCAUGUGCAUUCAUGGGGAAGAGUGGAACCCAUUAUGGUGAUGUGGAUGAUGUGGAUCUUUACUUUGUGAUUCAUCUUGGCAUUAAGUAAUUGAUUACUUGCUUACUUGCUGCAAAUUAUUAUUUAAGAAUGAAGUUGUGAACCAUGUGGUUGCUUAUGCACUGUUGGUUUACAUUGUCCAACUAUUGUUUGCUCUUUUUAUUUGUUGAGAUGUAUCAUCUCACUCUUGCAUUGUCUGAUGCAGGCACCUGAUCUUUGCUUUGGGAAUGAAGGGAUGUAGCAGCACGGCCACCACCUCUUUAAAUAAAGGAACCACUGCUUAAUAAUGAUGUUAAACAGGGAGGGUCAAGUCUAGGGGAUUAUUACAUUCUAAUCUUUCAUGGUAGUUGAAAUGUUUAGUUUGGUGGGCUGAGUUGUCUAUCUUUUGUCUGGUCAUGAAUGUUCAUUUUUACCGUUGCAUUUCGAUUAUACUAUGUCAUCUAUCUUUCUUUUAUAUCCUGUAUAAACUCUAUGUUUCCCUUGUUAUGCUUCUUUCAAGGGAGGUGCCGCCGAAUUUUGCAAUACUUUCUUUAUCUAUGUGUAGCAUAAGUUUUGUAGGAAGAGUUUUUGGUAACAUCCAUU